GAUGAACGCUGGCGGUAUGCCUAACACAUGCAAGUCGUACGAGAGUUUUUAACUCUAGUGGCGGACGGGUGAGUAACACGUGAGAAUUUGCCUUUAGGAGGGGGACAACAAUCGGAAACGAAUGCUAAUACCCCAUAUGCUUUCGAGUGAAAUGGAUUUUAUCCGCCUAGAGAGAAGCUCGCGGCUGAUUAGCUUGUUGGUAAGGUAAGAGCUUACCAAGGCGACGAUCAGUAUCUGGUUUGAGAGGACGAUCAGACACACUGGAACUGAGACACGGUCCAGACUCCUACGGGAGGCAGCAGUGGGGAAUUUUCCGCAAUGGGCGAAAGCCUGACGGAGCAAUACCGCGUGAGGGAAGAAUGCCUAUGGGUUGUAAACCUCUUUUUUCUAGGGAGGAAUCAAAUGACGUGUACCUGAAGAAUAAGACAUCGGCUAACUCCGUG
rnacentral:rRNA from 1 species